rnacentral:rRNA from 1 species
AACGAACGCUGGCGGCAUUCCUAACACAUGCAAGUCGAACGAAGGCUUCGGCCUUAGUGGCGCACGGGUGCGUAACGCGUGGGAAUCUGCCCCUCGGUUCGGAAUAACAGUUAGAAAUGACUGCUAAUACCGGAUGAUGACUUCGGUCCAAAGAUUUAUCGCCGAGGGAUGAGCCCGCGUAAGAUUAGGUAGUUGGUGGGGUAAAGGCCUACCAAGCCGACGAUCUUUAGCUGUUCUGAGAGGAUGAUCAGCCACUCAGGGACUGAGCCACGGCCCAGGAUCCUACGCGAGGCAGCAGUGGGGAGUAUUGAACAAAGGGCGAAAGCCUGAUCCAGCAAUGCCGCGUGAGUGAUGAAGGCCUUAGGGGUGUAAAGCUCUUUUACCAGGGAUGAUAAUGACGGUACCUGGAGAAUAAGCUCCGGCUAACUCCGUGCCAGCAGCCGCCGUAACAC